rnacentral:ncRNA from 1 species
CCUUCUGAAUUUAAGUGUAUUAGUCAGAGGAGGAAAAGAAAACAGCAAGCGUUCCCUCAGUAACGGUGAGUGAAGAGGGA